CGUAGGCGCAAGCGUUGUCCGGAUUUAUUGGGCGUAAAGAGCUCGUAGGCGGCUUGUUACGUCGUCCGUGAAACCUGGGCUUAACUCUGGGCGUGCGGUCGAUACGGGCAGGCUAGAGGCAGGUAGGGAGAUCGGAAUUCCUGGUGUAGCGGUGAAAUGCGCAGAUAUCAGGAGGAACACCGGUGGCGAAGGCGGAUCUCUGGGCCUGUUCUGACGCUGAGGAGCGAAAGCGUGGGGAGCGAACAGGAUU
rnacentral:rRNA from 1 species